rnacentral:rRNA from 1 species
ACCACAACGGGUGGAGCUUGCGGUUUAAUUGGAUUCAACGCCGGAAAUCUUACCGGGACCGACAGCAAUAUGAAGGCCAGGCUGAAGACUUUGCCGGAUUAGCUGAGAGGUGGUGCAUGGCCGUCGUCAGUUCGUACUGUGAAGCAUCCUGUUAAGUCAGGCAACGAGCGAGACCCACGCCAACAGUUGCCAGCUCGUCCUCCGGGAUGGUGGGGACACUGUUGGGACCGCCUCUGCUAAAGAGGAGGAAGGAAUGGGCAACGGUAGGUCAGCAUGCCCCGAAUUAUCUGGGCUACACGCGGGCUACAAUGGGUGGGACAAUGGGUAUCGACACCGAAAGGUGAAGGCAAUCUCCUAAACCCAUCCGUAGUUCGGAUUGUGGGCUGCAACUCGCCCACAUGAAGCUGGAAUCUGUAGUAAUCGUGUCUCAAAAUGGCACGGUGAACUAUCGUCCUGCUCCUU